UACAUAUUCGUUACCUAAACCCCGCUUCGUAUGUUAAUUAGCUUAUCAGUCUGUUGCCUGGAAUGUGGUGGUCUUGCAGGUUUGUAGGUGAUUCAUGUUCUUGUGACCAUCCGAUCUUCUCCAGCAAGGAGACUUAGCACUCCCUCCCUCUAGAUAGCAUUGGAAUAUCUCUCAUCCUUUUCUCAUUCUUUUUUAAAAUAGCCCCUUUUGUUAGAGGAAGAAGGGCAGGCGGCAGGCGUCUCCCCUUUGUUAGAGGAAGAAGGGCAGGCGUCUCCCCUUUGUUAGAGGAAGAGGGGCAGGCGUCUCCCCGUCUCCCCUUUGUUAGAGGAAGAGGGGCAGGCGUCUCCUCAAAACUGUAGCGUCUCCUCAAAACUGUAGGCGUCUCCUCAGAGCUGUGUGCCUAUGUGACCAGACAUCGCACCCAUGACUAGUCACCAUACCCACAUUCCUUGAGCAGACAUAUACAAUCACGAUCGAUGUCCAUUGUCCCCAUUUCACACUAUUUCUC